GACAUCCUUCCCAGGAAUCGUUCGGAAGCCUAUGCAACCUCAAGAGGGUCCGCGACUGUAAAUAACGGAUGCAAGUAGCCCUAAGCUGCAACAUAAUCGAAUUGCGGGGACGUCCUAAAGCCUAGCGGUACCAACCCCCGGGGGAAACCCCAGGGAGGCCUGUGCUAAUCACGCAGGAGGUAAGAACCCGUUAGGAUGCUACAGUGGAUGAUCCGCAGCGAAGCCCCUACCGGCAUACGCCUACGGGGAACGUCCACAGACUAAGUGGUUAUGGGUAGAGCGUGCUCUGCUUAAGAUAUAGUCGGUCUCCCUGGGAAACUGGGGCGGUUAGAUGUUCCGUAGGUGAACCUGCGGAAGGAUCAUUACAGAGUUUCAUGCCCUUCUGGGUAGAUCUCCCACCCUUGUAUAUAUAAUUAUCCGUUGCUUUGGCCGGCCGCGAGCCUAGCUUGCCUGGGCUUCUACCCGGCGUGCCCGCCAGAGGAUACCUCAACCCUGAAUGUUAGUGUCGUCUGAGUACUAUAAAAUAGUUAAAACUUUCAACAACGGAUCUCUUGGUUCUGGCAUCGAUGAAGAACGCAGCGAAAUGCGAUAAGUAAUGUGAAUUGCAGAAUUCAGUGAAUCAUCGAAUCUUUGAACGCACAUUGCGCCCCUUGGUAUUCCGGGGGGCAUGCCUGUUCGAGCGUCAUUAUAACCAAUCCAGCCUGGCUGGGUCUUGGGCAUCGCGGUGUAGCGGGCCUUAAAAUCGGUGGCGGUGCUCUCAUGCUCUACGCGUAGUAACUUUCUCGCUAUAGUGUUAUGGGAGAUGCUGGCCAAAACCCCCCAAUUUUUAAGGUUGACCUCGGA
rnacentral:sRNA from 1 species